AUAUAGAUUAAGUUAUUAAGGGCGCACGGUGGAUGCCUUGGCACUAGAAGCCGAUGAAGGACGUUACUAACGACGAUAUGCUUUGGGGAGCUGUAAGUAAGCUUUGAUCCAGAGA
rnacentral:rRNA from 1 species